rnacentral:rRNA from 1 species
AGUGAACGCUGGCGGUAGGCCUAACACAUGCAAGUCGAACGGCAGCACAGUAAGAGCUUGCUCUUACGGGUGGCGAGUGGCGGACGGGUGAGGAAUACAUCGGCAUCUACUUUUUCGUGGGGGAUAACGUAGGGAAACUUACGCUAAUACCGCAUACGACCUACGGGUGAAAGCAGGGGAUCUUCGGACCUUGCGUGAUUGAAUGAGCCGAUGUCGGAUUAGCUAGUUGGCGGGGUAAAGGCUCACCAAGGCGACGAUCCGUAGCUGGUCUGAGAGGAUGAUCAGCCACACUGGAACUGAGACACGGUCCAGACUCCUACGGGAGGCAGCAGUAGGGAAUAUUGGACAAUGGGCGCAAGCCUGAUCCAGCCAUACCGCGUGGGUGAAGAAGGUCUUCGGGUUGUAAAGCUCUUUUGUUGGGAAAGAAAAGCAGCAGGUUAAUACCCCGCUGUUCUGACGGUACCCAAAGAAUAAGCACCGGCUAACUUCGUG